CUGAUAGGUGAGCCAAAACUGAGCCUUAAAGUGCCUUGUGCUCUGAAGUGAGCCAUCGCAGAGCCAGUCAGUCAGUAGUAGCCGGGGAGGGACGUCGCGAGCACCAUGUGUCUCAGUUAUUAAUGGCAAGACAGCCACCAGGCGACUGCAUCAGCCUAGGGCCAGCAUGAGCGGUUAGUGGUGGGCCGGCCCUUGAUGGUCACAAGCAGUCAAGAUGUACAAUAUUGUAACAGGAAUGAGAGAAAAAAAAAAAAAAAUGGCCGUGCUCCCAUCACCUCCAGGAAGGAUGCAGUGUGGCCAGCUGGACGGCUUGGCUACCACCAAUCAUUCUUGAGUUCAGGUUUCUUUGUAAAGACUCGCAGCAAGAGACGACAAAUCUCACCAAUGACAGCCAGUCCAUCAAGACACUUUAUAAGCAUACAUCCAUACAGAUAUGAGUGAAGGACAGUGAUCACGAGUGAGUUCCCGUGAGACUCCGAGUCGACACAGAAUGACUCGGGAAUCUCCCACGUGGCCCACUGCAAGCUCCACCCCGGCCCGCAGCAGAGAGACGGCUGCUGUUGUACCCGCCCUCUGCCCUGCAACAUAUGGAUGAUGGUGGAAAACUGUACUGUGUAAAAUUGUGCAAUAAAAUAUGGUGAUACAUUAGUA